rnacentral:rRNA from 1 species
ACGGAGGGUGCAAGCGUAAAUCGGAAUCAAUGGGCGUAAAGCGCGCGUAGGCGGGCAUUUAAGUCGGACGUGAAAGCCCUCGGCUCAACCGGGGAAGUGCGUUCGAUACUGUUUGGCUUGAGUCCUGGAGAGGGUGGCGGAAUUCCGGGUGUAGGAGUGAAAUCCGUAGAUAUCCGGAGGAACACCGGUGGCGAAGGCGGCCACCUGCACAGGUACUGACGCUGAGGCGCGAAAGCGUGGGGAGCAAACAG